rnacentral:rRNA from 1 species
AAAUUGAAGAGUUUGAUCAUGGCUCAGAUUGAACGCUGGCGGCAGGCCUAACACAUGCAAGUCGAACGGUAACAGGAAGCAGCUUGCUGCUUCGCUGACGAGUGGCGGACGGGGGAGUAAUGUCUGGGAAACUGCCUGAUGGAGGGGGAUAACUACUGGAAACGGUAGCUAAUACCGCAUAACGGCGCAAGACCAAAGAGGGGGACCUUCGGGCCUCUUGCCAUCGGAUG